rnacentral:lncRNA from 1 species
CCCCAGAGUUCUUUUACCACAGUCUUUGAUGUCUGCAAGUGGAACCAUUUCUCAUUGGUGCUAAGAUGACUGCUUGAUGUAUGGUCAGUGUGGUGACCCUUGGGUCCAGUCCUUCAUCAGUGAUGUCACAAUUAAGACAUGAAAAGCCACAAUUCCGCCUGAGCUCCAUCAUGGACAAAUGUGGUGAUGUCAUCCCUAAGUCAAUGAACUCCCACUGCUUUUCACUCAGCGAAUCCUAAAGAUGUCUCCAGGGAGCCUGGGGUCUGAAAAAGGGGCGACCUCUUCCACCACAUGGCACCUGACAGGAGACUGAGGACAGGGAAGACCACCCCCUCCUGCAGCUGUUUCAGGAGUGCCCAUCUGAUGGAUCCACCUCUUGCAAAGGGCACAGUCCCUGUCUACACCCCAUCCCUGGGGUAUGUCAGGCCAACACAGCUUCUGUCACAGCUUCACACUAACACACAGAUAAAUCCCAACAGAUGCUGACCCAGGACUCAUUUAAGGAGGCCCCAAUCCCAUAGUCCUGCUCCCAAAUGCAGAUAAAUUCGUCAAACUGCCAACUCUGCUCAGCUGAACCUAGAACUGAGGUUGGUGGGUCGACAAUGCAACACGGGACAGCACAGCUCCCAGCACAGCUCCCCAGCAAGCAGCAGCCCACAGCGCAUGCCGCCACCAGGCAGCAGAGCAGGGGAGCAAGUCAGAGCAAGAGAAGACAGACCCACGGGUGGGGUCAUGUCUGGACAUGCUGCUCAGGGAGCCAACUGUUAUGGUCACCUGCAGAGGGGUGGUUCCCUUGUUGAGACUGAUGCCAGGGUGGCGCGCGCGCACACACACACACACACACACACACACACACACAGGGUAGGAAAAGGCUUAGGAUUCACAUAAUAGAGGUCCAAAGGGAGGGCUGGGCCUCUCAAGCAGCUCUGACAGGGCUCAGAAAGCAAGGAAUGGAGCCUGGCCUGGGACUUCACUGGGCCUGGGGGAGGGGCCGGGGCGAGAGCUCUGCACACAGGCAGGGGCUGGGGUGGUGGGAAUCUCC